UCCAAUGCUGACGAAGCCAAUAAAUAAAAGAAACUGAUGUUGUAAUAAUACAAUGUGUGUGUGUGUGUGUGUGUUUGGUUGAGUAUUUAAAUAUGUGUUCUUGAUUUGAAAUUCAAAAAGACAUCGCUUGAAAUCUAACAGAAAGUUUGAGAUGUGAAAUAGCUUCUACUGUUGAAGGAAUUCAAAGUUGACUAAAAAUGUCAAGAUUACAUGAUAUUUCAAGUUUUAUCUUCAAAUACCUGUCUGCAGGUUUAAAGGGAACUAAAGAAAGUCUACUAUCUACAGCUUCUUUGUAUUUGCAACACUCUCUGUCUGGACACAGCAACGUGGAGGACAAGGCUCUUCCAGAAACGGGAGACACUCCCCAGAACGUAGAUCUGAAUGAGUUUUACCUACGUUACACAGAACAUUGCAGAGAGCUGGAAAAAUAUGGAGCCUACUAUUGAAACUAUAUGUCAAUUAUUAUGAAAUUUGUGCAUGUAUGUGGAAGGUCAGCUUAGUAAAUGUAAAUGUUUAUGCAUUUAAAGUAACUGGUUGGUACUUGUAUUUUCUUUUUAAGUGUUUUCAUAUAGUAAAAAAAAAGUCUAUAUUUUGUUCAGCUAAUUUAGCUAAGAUUAUGUAAAAGAAAAAAAGUUCCCCUUUCAGACCUUGUGGUGUAUAAGGCAUCUGUUUCUGUGGCCUACGGUUAA
rnacentral:sRNA from 1 species